rnacentral:rRNA from 1 species
GCCCAGUCGUAAACCUUGAUGAUAAACUACAAAUAUCAUCCGCCAGGGAACUACAAGCGUAUCGCUCGAAACCCAACGGACUUGGCGGUGCCCCACACCCACCUAGAGGAGCCUGUUCUAUAACUGACAAUCCCCGUUCAACCUCACCACUCCUAGCCCCUUCAGUCUAUAUACCACCGUCGUAAGCUCACCCUGUGAAGGAUUAACAGUAAGCAAGAUGGGCACAACCCAAAACGUCAGGUCGAGGUGUAGCAUAUGGAGUGGGAAGAAAUGGGCUACAUUUUCUAUCUACAGAACAUUACGGACGACGUCAUGAAACCUGCCGUCCAAAGGAGGAUUUAGCAGUAAAAAGAAAACAGAGAGUUCUUUUGAAGCCGGCCCUGGGGCGCGC